UAAAUUAUGGGUGUGAUCUUGGCUUGGAGUGAAUGCUAGCUAAGUGUCUAACACAUGCAAGUCAAGGUGUUAAUCACAAUUACUUUGUAAGUGUGGGGAACAACUGGCGUCGUGGUGAGUAUAUACGUGUAAGAUAACAUUACAGGAGUUAAAUACUUAAAAAAGCGCUUUAGCGCGUGUAAUGGGUCGAUGNNNNNNNNNNAAGAAUAUUAGGCAAUGUGCGAAAGCAUGACCUAUCAAAUUAGCGGAGAUGAAGAAGAUUCAAUUGUAAAGUCUAUACGUACGUGAGCAUAUGAGGGUAAGCGUAAAAAGAAGUCAUGGCUAAUACAGGUGCCAGCAGCCGCGGUAAUACCUGAGUGAUUAGCAUUAUUCGGCAUGAUUGGGCGUAAAGGAUACGUAGGCUGAGUCAGUGGGGGUCCAAUCUAUUUAUUCAAAAAUGGUGUAUCCCUUAAAAUGGGCUCUUGAGUAAAUAUU
rnacentral:rRNA from 1 species